GAUGAACGCUAGCGGCAGGCCUAACACAUGCAAGUCGAGGGAGGAGCCUUCGGGCUUCGACCGGCGUACGGGUGCGUAACGCGUAUACAAUCUGCCUUUCACAUAGGGAUAGCCCGAAGAAAUUUGGAUUAAUACCUAAUGGUAUAUAGAUGUGGCAUCACCUUUAUAUUAAAGCUGAGGCGGUGAAAGAUGAGUAUGCGUUCUAUUAGCUAGUUGGAGAGGUAACGGCUCCCCAAGGCGACGAUAGAUAGGGGUUCUGAGAGGGAUAUCCACCACACUGGUACUGAGAUACGGACCAGACUCCUACGGGAGGCAGCAGUGAGGAAUAUUGGACAAUGGUCGGAAGACUGAUCCAGCCAUGCCGCGUGCAGGAAGACGGCCUUAGGGGUUGUAAACUGCUUUUGCAGGGGAAGAAUAAGGACUACGCGUAGUUUGAUGACGGUACUCUGCGAAUAAGCAUCGGCUAACUCCGUG
rnacentral:rRNA from 1 species